rnacentral:tRNA from 1 species
CUGGACGUAGCUCAGUGGUAGAGCACAUGCUUGAUAAGCGUGAGGUCAGGGGUUCAAAUCCCCUCGUUCGGACCA